rnacentral:tRNA from 1 species
AGGGAAAUAUCCUAGUGGUCAAGGAGCUUGCUUUGGGAGCAAGAAAUCAGGAGUUCGAGUCUCCUUUUCCCUA